UACGUAGGGUGCGAGCGUUGUCCGGAAUUAUUGGGCGUAAAGAGCUCGUAGGCGGUGUGUCACGUCGGCCGUGAAAACCUGCAGCUUAACUGUGGGCGUGCGGUCGAUACGGGCAUCACUGGAGUUCGGCAGGGGAGACUGGAAUUCCUGGUGUAGCGGUGAAAUGCGCAGAUAUCAGGAGGAACACCGGUGGCGAAAGCGGGUCUCUGGGCCGAUACUGACGCUGAGGAGCGAAAGCGUGGGGGAGCGAACAGG
rnacentral:rRNA from 1 species